rnacentral:rRNA from 1 species
AACGAACGCUGGCGGCAGGCCUAACACAUGCAAGUCGAGCGCACCCUUCGGGGUGAGCGGCGGACGGGUGAGUAACGCGUGGGAACGUGCCCUUCUCUGCGGAAUAGCCUCGGGAAACUGAGAGUAAUACCGCAUACGCCCUUUGGGGGAAAGAUUUAUCGGAGAAGGAUCGGCCCGCGUUGGAUUAGGUAGUUGGUGGGGUAAUGGCCCACCAAGCCGACGAUCCAUAGCUGGUUUGAGAGGAUGAUCAGCCACACUGGGACUGAGACACGGCCCAGACUCCUACGGGAGGCAGCAGUGGGGAGUCUUAGACAAUGGGGGCAACCCUGAUCUAGCCAUGCCGCGUGAGUGAUGAAGGCCUUAGGGUUGUAAAGCUCUUUCAGCUGGGAAGAUAAUGACGGUACCAGCAGAAGAAGCCCCGGCUAACUCCGUU